rnacentral:rRNA from 1 species
GACGGGGGGCAAGGUGUUCUUCGGAAUUGACUGGGCGUAAAGGGCACGUAGGCGGUGAAUCGGGUUGAAAGUGAAAGUCGCCAAAAGUGGCGGAAUGCUCUCGAAAACCAAUUCACUUGAGUGAGACAGAGGAGAGUGGAAUUUCGUGUGUAGGGGUGAAAUCCGUAGAUCUACGAAGGAACGCCAAAAGCGAAGGCAGCUCUCUGGGUCCCUACCGACGCUGGGGUGCGAAAGCAUGGGGAAGCGAACAGGG